rnacentral:tRNA from 1 species
UCCCUAUUGCUCAGAUGGUAAAGAAUCUGCCUGCAAUGCAGGAGACCCAGGUUCAAUCCCUGGGUCAGGAA